GACGAACGCUGGUGGCGUGCCUAACACAUGCAAGUCGAGCGAUGAAAUCCCUUCGGGGAUGGAUUAGCGGCGGACGGGUGAGUAACACGUGGGUAACCUGCCUCAAAGAGGGGGAUAGCCUCCCGAAAGGGAGAUUAAUACCGCAUAACAUUGGUUUUUCGCAUGAAGAACUAAUUAAAGGAGCAAUCCGCUUUGAGAUGGACCCGCGGCGCAUUAGCUAGUUGGUGAGGUAAAGGCUCACCAAGGCGACGAUGCGUAGCCGACCUGAGAGGGUGAUCGGCCACAGUGGAACUGAGACACGGUCCAGACUCCUACGGGAGGCAGCAGUGGGGAAUAUUGCACAAUGGGCGAAAGCCUGAUGCAGCAACGCCGCGUGAGUGAUGAAGGCCUUCGGGUUGUAAAGCUCUGUCUUUUGGGACGAUAAUGACGGUACCAAAGGAGGAAGCCACGGCUAACUACGUGCCAGCCGCCGCCGUAAUAC
rnacentral:rRNA from 1 species